AGUGAACGCUGGCGGUAGGCCUAACACAUGCAAGUCGAACGGCAGCACAGAGGAGCUUGCUCCUUGGGUGGCGAGUGGCGGACGGGUGAGGAAUACAUCGGAAUCUACUCUGUCGUGGGGGAUAACGUAGGGAAACUUACGCUAAUACCGCAUACGACCUACGGGUGAAAGCAGGGGACCUUCGGGCCUUGCGCGAUUGAAUGAGCCGAUGUCGGAUUAGCUAGUUGGCGGGGUAAAGGCCCACCAAGGCGACGAUCCGUAGCUGGUCUGAGAGGAUGAUCAGCCACACUGGAACGGAGACACGGUCCAGACUCCUACGGGAGGCAGCAGUGGGGAGUAUUGGACAAUGGGCGCAAGCCUGAUCCAGCCAUACCGCGUGGGUGAAGAAGGCCUUCGGGUUGUAAAGCCCUUUUGUUGGGAAAGAAAUCCAGCUGGCUAAUACCCGGUUGGGACGACGGUACCCAAAGAAUAAGCACCGGCUAACUUCGUGCCAGCCGCCGCGGUAA
rnacentral:rRNA from 1 species